GACGGAGGGUGCAAGCGUUGUUCGGAUUGACUGGGCGUAAAGGGCGUGUAGGCGGUCGGUCAAGUCUGGUGUGAAAGCCCGGGGCUCAGCUCCGGAAGUGCAUCGGAAACUAGCUGGCUGGAGCGCGAUAGAGGAGGGCGGAAUUCCUGGUGUAGCGGUGAAAUGCGUAGAUAUCAGGAGGAACACCGGUGGUGUAAACGACUUUCUGGACCAUAACUGACGCUGAGGCACGAAAGCGUGGGUAGCAAACAGG
rnacentral:rRNA from 1 species